rnacentral:lncRNA from 10 species
GAGCUUUCAUUUCUGGCAAAAGAGCUGAGUGGAGGGAAGGCAAAAGCCCGGAAGGGGGAAGGUAGAUACAAGAUGAAAUUGUUUUCACAGAGUUUCAAAUUGAGCAGGAUUACAAGUCUUAACUUGUCAGGGCCUGAAUCUCUAUCUCAUUCUCAGAUUUCUACCUCAAAUAAAAUAAGUUGAGAAACCACUAACUGAAAAUAAUUCUGUCCCUUGAAGGAUCAUCUAAUUGGACCUGGCAUGGAAAUUUGGAAUGCAGUCCUGCGAAGUUUAUCAUCUCCAUUUAUGUCCUGGAAAAGGGAAGAUUUCUUUUACAUCCUGACCUGGUUUCUGUACCACUUACUUAACAAAUAAGCAUUUAGAGAAUGUCUCUCAUAUAUGGUCUCUCAGUAAAUUCUCUAAGUAGUUCUGGGAAGUAGACAUUAUCUCCAUUUUUAAAACUUCUUAUUUGAGAUGUAAUUUACAUACCUAAAAUUCACCCAAUUAAAACAUGCAAGUCAGUGGUUUCUAGUGUCUUUAAAGAGUUGUGCAACCAUCACCACUAUC